AGAGCGAACGCUGGCGGCAGGCCUAAUACAUGCAAGUCGAACGCACCUUCGGGUGAGUGGCGGACGGGUGAGUAACACGUGGGAACGUGCCCUUUGGUUCGGAAUAAUCCGGGGAAACCUGGCCUAAUACCGAAUGUGCCCUUCGGGGGAAAGAUUUAUCGCCAUUGGAGCGGCCCGCGUCUGAUUAGCUAGUUGGUGGGGUAAAGGCCCACCAAGGCUACGAUCAGUAGCUGGUCUGAGAGGAUGAUCAGCCACACUGGGACUGAGACACGGCCCAGACUCCUACGGGAGGCAGCAGUAGGGAAUCUUGCGCAAUGGGCGAAAGCCUGACGCAGCCAUGCCGCGUGAAUGAUGAAGGUCUUAGGAUUGUAAAAUUCUUUCAGCGGGGAAGAUAAUGACGGUACCCGCAGAAGAAGCUCCGGCUAACUUCGUGCCAGCAGCCGC
rnacentral:rRNA from 1 species